rnacentral:piRNA from 1 species
UACCUCUCAGUGAAAGAUGUGACCCAGGU